rfam:Schistosoma rodhaini strain Burundi genome assembly, scaffold: SROB_scaffold0000191
AUCCAGCUGACGAGUCCCGAAAUGGACGAAAAGCGCAUCAAACUGGAU